rnacentral:tRNA from 1 species
UUACUGGUAGGUUAAAAUUUUAAACUGACAAAUUGUGGUUUUGUAGAAUACUUUGUUGUAUCAGUAAA